GUGAAGAGGCUGUGACAGAACUUAAUGCUUGGAAAAAUAAUACUGGUGUGAACCAAAUGCUGAAGCAGUACAAGUAUCUGUAUUUUGUCUGGAAUUGCAAAAAGCCUUAUGGGAAUACCAGUGAUUUCUUUUUAAAUUGGUGUUACAGUUCAACCAGGUUUGUACAAACAGGUAAUGUUGAAAUGCAGUGUGUUACAGCCCUGGAAAAGGUGGAAAAGGCCAGUUUUGUUCCAAGGUGAAACACAUAUGUGGCAGUGUGGCCCCACAGGCUGUCCCAGCCUGGCUGCUGGCAGUGACCCCCAGUGUCCCCUCUGCUGUGGCACCAAAUGGCACCAGGUUUUACCUUCCCACACUGAGCUACAGCCGCCAGCUGAGGGCUCUGCCCAGGGCCUCUCUCCCUGGGGCCAACAUGAGCUUUUCCACCUGCCUUUUUACACCAAACUGCAGGCUCCUGAGUCCAUGGGAAAUAUUUUCAGCUCCAGCACUCCGGUACCUGAGGAGGAAGAGCACAGCUGGCACCAGGAGCUGUCCCACACCCGGUGCUCCUCCAGCCCCACAGGUUAAUUAACAGGAGGCUGUUAAUAACAAGGGGCUCCUCUGCCCUGAGGAAGCUGCCAGAGAGGACGAGGAGAGCUCAUCCCGGGGCUGCUCCGUGUCCCCUCACAGCCAAGGUGGAGCUGAGGCCUCGGCUCAGCUGAGGGCCUCGCACAGCCAAGCUGCCUGCACUGUGAAACCCACAGGAACUUCAUAUCUUUGAAACCUCUCCCACUCUGUCAGGCUUGGCUGAAGCUUGCAUGUGGUUAUUGGAGCAGAGGA